UACGUAGGGUGCGAGCGUUGUCCGGAAUUAUUGGGCGUAAAGGGCUCGUAGGCGGUCUGUCGCGUCGGGAGUGAAAACUCAGGGCUUAACCCUGAGCCUGCUUCCGAUACGGGCAGACUAGAGGUAUGCAGGGGAGAACGGAAUUCCUGGUGUAGCGGUGAAAUGCGCAGAUAUCAAGCGGAACACCGGUGGCGAAGGCGGCCUUCUGGACAGUGACUGACGCUGAGACGCGAAAGCGUGGGGAGCAAACAGG
rnacentral:rRNA from 1 species